rnacentral:rRNA from 1 species
AUACGUAGGGGGCGAGCGUUGUCUGGAAUUAUUGGGCGUAAAGGGCACGUAGGCGGCUAUUCAAGUCGAUCGUGAAAGCUCGGGGCUCAACCCCGAGACUGCGGUCGAUACUGGAUGGCUAGAGGCUGGUAGGGGGGUGUGGAAUUCCCGGUGUAGCGGUGGAAUGCGCAGAUAUCGGGAGGAACACCGGUGGCGAAGGCGGCACCCUGGGCCAGUCCUGACGCUGAUGUGCGAAAGCGUGGGGAGCAAACAG